UACAGAGGGUGCAAGCGUUACUCGGAAUUACUGGGCGUAAAGCGCGCGUAGGUGGUUCAGCAAGUUGGAGGUGAAAUCCCCGGGCUCAACCUGGGAACUGCCUCCAAAACUACUGAGCUAGAGUACGGUAGAGGGUAGUGGAAUUUCCUGUGUAGCGGUGAAAUGCGUAGAUAUAGGAAGGAACACCAGUGGCGAAGGCGACUACCUGGACUGAUACUGACACUGAGGUGCGAAAGCGUGGGGAGCAAACAGG
rnacentral:rRNA from 1 species